rnacentral:rRNA from 1 species
UAUGUAGGCAGCAAACGUUGUUCGGAAUUACUGGGCGUAAAGAGUGUGUAGGCGGCUUUGUAAGUUCUGUGUGAAAUCUCCCGGCUCAACUGGGAGGGUGCGCCGAAUACUGCAAGGCUUGAGUACUGGAGAGGAUAGCGGAAUUCCUGGUGUAGCGGUGAAAUGCGUAGAUAUCAGGAGGAACACCGGCGGUGUAGACGGCUAUCUGGACAGUAACUGACGCUGAGACACGAAAGCGUGGGGAGCAAACAGG